GCUCGUGUAGCUCAGUCGGUUAGAGCGCUAUCCUCACACGAUAGAGGUCCCUGGUUCAAAUCCAGGCACGAGCACCA
rnacentral:tRNA from 1 species